CUGAGAUUUUUGACAAUAUUGGUGCUAAUGCUAUCACUUCACGCAGUGGUUUUUUGUGUUCCAAUUGUAAAGCUAAUUGGGCGCAGCCUACUGCCAUUGAGUAAUUUUCCAAUGAAUGAAAGUGCAAAAGCGGAAUUUUCUGAGGUGUCCUUAGCCGCAGACGUGUUUUGGAGCUAAAAAGAAUUACAUUUUGUACUUGGAAUUACUUGAACAUACUUCAAUCAACACUUGAAACAUACUUCAAUCUAAUCUCAUAACAGCAAGAACACUCACAAGGCCACCAUAAUUCGAAGUGAUCACAUCAAUGGACAAAGCAGGGUUAGCUCGUGCCAGUAAACGCUUCAGAGUUCAGCUGGAUUUCAAUUUUACUUCUUUCAAUUUUCAACUAUAGUUUGUGU